ensembl:lncRNA
AUGAAGAUGCUUAUUCAUGCUGUAACCAGUAAGCUAGAAGGCCUCAAUUCCAAUUUAGCAAGGCAGCUGGGUGACAGCCUGGUCAGGAGGCUCAGGGAGAACUCGGUACAUUUAGAAUCAUUAAGUGAUUCCACACAUGAUUCCAUACUCACGUUAUUGGAUGCCAGAUUAAAAAAAACUGGGAUUCUUAAUUUGAUAUCCAAAUAUAAAUCCGAAUGCACUACUGUAAUCAGAAGUUCUGGUCUCCAUUCUGCUUCCACCAAUACACCCCCAUCUCAGAUGCCAGCCUCUUUAGAAGCAGGUCAAACUACUAACAACAGUGACCUUUGGCAACUGCUGGAUAGCACAGUUGAUCACAGUAUAGAAGUAGCUCAAGUACAACAGCAGAUGCUACUGCUGAAGUGAACUGGUAUUUAUUGGAAGUGAAUCUCACUAGAUCUAGUAUAUUAGGCUCAACAGAAGCCUCAGCUUAUACCAGCUGGCAUUGGCUUUUUUAUGUUGCCCUGCUUUCUCUGUUCCAUGUGAAAAGACCUUUUCUAAUACUGGAGAGGUUUUGUCCAAGAAGAGGAAUCGUCUAAACCCCAGCGCACUUAAAAAAAAAAUUUGUUCCUCUAUAAAAAUCAAUAAUAUUUUUCUUCACCCACCCCAAACUGCUGUGUUGCAGUUUGCUCCACAACAGGUGCAUCUCAAAAAAAUACAACAUCAUGGAAAAGUUCUUUAUUUUUUGUAAUUUCAUUAAAAAAAAGCAAACUUUCUUAUAUUCUAGAUUCAUUGCACACAAACUGAAAUAUUUCAAGAGUUUUUAUUGUUUUGUUUUGUUUUAAUUCUGAUGGUUACGAAAAUUAAAAAUUCAGUAUCUCAAAAAAUUAUAAUAUUCCAUUUUGAGCUUAAUUAGUUUGAUUAAUUUUGAGUAUAAAUACUGGGUACCUCCUGGGCUAGUUUAGAACAUGCAACCACAAUUAUGGGAAAGACUACUGACUUGACAGUUGUCCAGAAGACAAUCAUCAGCCCCCUUCACAAGUAGGGUAAGCCACAGAAGGUCAUUGCUGAAAGUGCUGGCUGAUCACAGAGUGCUGUACCAAAAUAUAUUCAUAGAAAGUUGACUGAAAGGAAAAAGUGUGGUAGGAAAAGGUGCACAAGCAACAGGGAUGACCACAGCCUUGUGAAGAUUGUCAGGAAAAGCCGAUUCAAGAACUUGGGAGAGCUUCACAAGGAGUGGACUGAAGCCGGAGUCUGUGCAUCAAGAGUCACCACACUCAGACGUCUUCAGGAAAAGGGCUACAGCUGUCACAUUCCUAGAACCAAGCCACUCCUGAACCAGGAAAAACGUAAAAAGCAUCUCACCUGGGGUAAGGAGAAAAAUAACUGGGGUCUCAUUUAUGAACAUUGCGUACGCACAAAAUGGGCAUAGAAACAUGCAUACGCAAUUUUCCACACACAUAUCGUGAUUUAUAAAAAAUAAACUUGCCGUAAAUAUGAACGCA